rnacentral:lncRNA from 1 species
GAAUACAUAAACUACCAACACCCAAAGUACAAUAAAUUAUAACACUCUCAAUGCAAUUCUCCACCUAAUUUUCCAUCCUAUCAACUUUAAAAAAUUAAUAUAUAUUCCAUUAAUUUAAAUAAUAUUUACUUAUCACUAAAUUAAAAUAAAAAAAAACAAAAUUUUUUGAAACCAAUACUAUCCAUCAAAUCUGUAGAUCGUAUUAAUUUUAAAAAACACAAUACAAA